ACAGCUUCUCAGCCUUUUGUCUAACAUCAAAUGUAGUGUCUGUUCUUAUCAGUUUAAUAUCUGAUAUGUACUCUAACCAAGGACAUUAUGUUAAAUGGAUUUUUGGAGUUGGGAGAUGGAAUAGGGGCUUCCUCUGUCACUCUGCACAUUGACUUGGUAUUGCAAUUAUACCAGGAAUGGUGCACCAAGA